GAUAAACGCUGGCGGCGUGCUUAACACAUGCAAGUCGAACGGUGAAGCAGGAGCUUGCUCUUGUGGAUCAGUGGCGAACGGGUGAGUAACACGUGAGCAACCUGCCCCUGACUCUGGGAUAAGCGCUGGAAACGGCGUCUAAUACUGGAUAUGUGAUGUGACCGCAUGGUCUGCAUCUGGAAAGAAUUUCGGUUGGGGAUGGGCUCGCGGCCUAUCAGCUUGUUGGUGAGGUAAUGGCUCACCAAGGCGUCGACGGGUAGCCGGCCUGAGAGGGUGACCGGCCACACUGGGACUGAGACACGGCCCAGACUCCUACGGGAGGCAGCAGUGGGGAAUAUUGCACAAUGGGCGGAAGCCUGAUGCAGCAACGCCGCGUGAGGGAUGACGGCCUUCGGGUUGUAAACCUCUUUCAGAAGGGAAGAAGCGAAAGUGACGGUACCUGCAGAAAAAGCACCGGCUAACUACGUGCCAGCCGCCGCGGUAA
rnacentral:rRNA from 1 species